GAACACACCUGGCGCCUUGUUCAGGAUGACCAAGAAUGCUCUGACCCCUGGCGAAGGGUCAUUAUUGCAUUUCGGUGGGUUGAAACUCGCGGCGGCACCUGAUUAGGUGCACCCAAGCGUGUAGCUUUUAUCAGUGGGCAAGCCUCACUGUCCUGCCCU
rnacentral:snRNA from 15 species